rnacentral:rRNA from 1 species
AUUGAACGCUGGCGGCAGGCUUAACACAUGCAAGUCGAGCGGGGUGAUGGUGCUUGCACUAUCACUUAGCGGCGGACGGGUGAGUAAUGCUUAGGAAUCUGCCUAUUAGUGGGGGACAACAUCUCGAAAGGGAUGCUAAUACCGCAUACGUCCUACGGGAGAAAGCAGGGGGUCUUUAUGACCUUGCGCUAAUAGAUGAGCCUAAGUCGGAUCAGCUAGUUGGUGGGGUAAAGGCCUACCAAGGCGACGAUCUGUAGCGGGUCUGAGAGGAUGAUCCGCCACACUGUGACUGUUACACGGCCCAGACUCCGACGGGAGGCAGCAGUGGGGAAUAUUGGAGAAUGGGGGGAACCCUGAUCCAGCCAUGCCGCGUGUGUGAAGAAGGCCUUAUGGUUGUAAAGCACUUUAAGCGAGGAGGAGGCUCUUUUGGUUAAUACCCAGAAUGAGUGGACGUUACUCGCAGAAUAAGCACCGGCUAACUCUGUGCCAGCCGCCGCCGUAA